rnacentral:misc_RNA from 1 species
GACGGUACCUGCAGAAUAAGCACCGGCUAACUACGUGCCAGCAGCCGCGGUAAAUAAUGUAGGCGCAAGCGUUAAUCGGAAUUACUGGGCGUAAAGCGUGUGCGCAGGCGUCUGGAAAGAAAGAUGUGAAAUCCUGUAUUUAACUUUGGAACUGCAUUUUUAACUACCGGAGCUAGAGUGUGUUGAGGGAGGUGGAAUUCCAAGUGUAGCAGUGAAAUGCGUAGAUAUGCGGAGGAACACCGGAUGGCAGCCUCCUGGGAUAACACUGACGCUCAUGCACGAAAGCGUGGGGAGCAAACAGGAUUAGAUGGUUCUGGUAGUCCACGCCCUAAACGAUGUCAACUAGCUGUUGGGGCCUUCGGGCCUCGGUAGCGCAGCUAACGCGUGAAGUUGACCGCCCGGGGAGUACGGUCGCAAGAUUAAAACUCAAAGGAAUUGACGGGGACCCGGCACGCGGUGGAUGAUGUGGAUUAAUUCGAUGCAACGCGAAAAACCUUACCUACCCUUGACAUGUCUGGAAUCCCGAAGAGAUUUGGGAGUGCUCGCAAGAGAACCGAACACAGGUGCUGCAUGGCUGUCGUCAGCUCGUGUCUUGAGAUGUUGGGUUAAGUCCCGCAACGAGCGCAACCUUGUCAUUAGUUGCUACGAAAGGGCACUCUAAUGAGACUGCCGGUGACAAAAACUGAGGAAGGUGGGGAUGACGUCAAGUCCUCAUGGCCCUUAUGGGUAGGGCUUCACACGUCAUACAAUGGUCGGGACAGUGGUCGCCAGCGAGGGAGCCAAUCCCAGAAACCUCGAUCGUAGUCCGGAUCGCAGUCUGCAACUCGACUGCGUGAAGUCGGAAUCGCUAGUAAUCGUGAUCAGCAUGUCGCGGUGAAUACGUUCCCGGGUCUUGUACACAUCGCCCGUCACACCAUGGGAGUGGGUUUUACUGAAGUAGUUAGCCUAACCGGGUAAGGAGGCGAUUACCAGGUAGGAUUCAUGACUGGGGUGAAGUCGUAACAAGGUAG